UAACGUGUUCAUUUUUGAACGUAUAGUGACAACAAACACAAUUUGAGGGAGUCGACAAGCUAGUGGUCCUUAAAUACAUUUUGGUUCAUACUGCAGAUUCUUCUGAGUCUCACAAAACCACGUUUUAGCCUAAGAGCAUUACGAUAGUUUUACGUUGAAACAGGAAGUGCUGCUCAUCUGUACUGUGGCCAGCUUUGCCUCAAAUAAUAAUUAGUGUCGUUACCGCCUGUGUCCGCCAGAGGGGCAGUAGCGCCCCCUGCUCUGAUAAGGAUAAGGAUAAACUUUAUUGAUCCCACAGUGGGUAAAGUUCACCGAGCUGCUUCACUGAGGAGAGUCUUUUAGUUUUCAGAUAAUAUGAUGGCGAAGAAAAUGUGUUACUGCAGUAAAGAUUCCACUGAAUUAUUAUUUGAUCCAUGAUCGAGAGCACUCAGUUCUUCUCCAGUUUGUUGCUGCGGUCCGGUGAACAGGUGAGCUCCAGGUGAACAGGUGAUGUCAGCAGCAGGUUGAGAGGACUUUGGGUAUUGAGGCUGCAAGAUCCACCAUCAUCAAUGAGGUUCAGUACACCAUGGUCAACCACGGAAUGAGCAUCGACCGGCGUCACGUCAUGCUUCUUGCUGAUCUUAUGUCCUAUAAGGACCAGACCUGCUGGGAUCUGUACAGAUGUCUUGAUGAGGGUGGGAGUGGUUUCAGUAAAGGAGAGCUGGAUCAGUCUACAAACACAUUGUUGUAACCAGUGUGGGAAAUCUUUCAGGCAGUCAAGUUAUUUGAAACGUCAUAUGCUCAUCCACACGGAAGAAAUUAGUUUUUUCACUGUGAUAUUUCCUCAUGUUUGACAAAGUGGUUAUUAUCUUAACUGUGAAAUAAAAGCCCUCCUUAAACGUUAUUUAAUCUAGUCUCUUUUUCAAAAGAGGCCUGAGAACAACAGACAUUCCAAUAAACUACCCUUAGUUAGUAAAGUGAAACUAAAUCAAUCGUAUUUUUAACUAUUGUAACCAAACCUCCACUGCCAUAUUAGAACAGGAUAUGCUUUUAUUUCUAAAACAUUGCCAAUGAUUUUGACAAAUCAUUCUGUGGUUUUAUUUGAGAAAGUUGUUGCCCCAGCAUUGUCCUACAGGGGGCAGUUGUUUUAAAACUACAUUUGUCUUCCAUGUGUCACCAUUUGCUUGCAUAUUUCAUAAACAUCACAAUCACUAAUUUCCAACUCUAUACUGAUGAUAUUUUCCUGGUUUUCUUAGCUGGCUGGAGAUGAAUUUUUGCAUCCCUACCCUGAUUUUCAUUAUCGAGGCUCGCUUUUUCCCCUAACAUUCUCCCACAACGGGAGUGUUUGACCUUUAAAGUCACGGUUUCUUCUACUGACCGGCACCUUUGUGAUUAAUCCUUGCAGCUCUACUGCAUGAUCUACUGUUUGCUUUACCCCGUUAGUCAUUCUCUACUAACACUGCAGUUUCUGCUGCUGCUGGUUUUCAACAAAUUCCAGGAGAAGAACAUACAUUACUCCCAUUCACGUCUCCCUGUGAUUUACUAUUGAUUUAGCUGAUUUAGCUUUAAAGCACAGCAUGCUCCCCUUCUGUCUUCCGUUAGGCUCUGCUAAGCCUCCUGGUGCUGAAGCUUCUUACCUGAGCAUUGGUUUGGAAAAAUAAGUAAAUAAAGUCCAAGGACUCACCUAUGUGGGCCCCUCAAAAUUUUUCAUUAUCA